AAAGCGUUUUCUGGAUGAUUGUCUUUCUUCAUUGGAACGUCAGACAAGCAAGGAUUUUGAGACACUUGUGAUUGACAAUGCAUCGCAGGAUGACAGUGUUUCUUAUAUAAGAGAACAUUAUCCGUGGGUAAAGAUUGCAGUAAUGAGACACAAUCUUGGCUUUUCCGGAGGUGUUAAUGUCGGAAUUGGCAUGUGCACGACACCAUAUGUACUGUUGUUAAACAAUGACACACGUUCCUUCCCGAAGAUGGUAGAGGAACUGAUAAAGACAAUGGAAUCAGCUGAUGACAUUUUCUCUGUCAGCUGUAAGAUGAUACAGUUUCAUGAUCAUGAAAAGAUGGAUGAUGCUGGUGAUCUAUAUACUUGUCUUGGCUGGGCAUUUCAGCGAGGUGUGGGUCAGCCAGUUGGUGACUAUCGCGAGCCGGCUGAAGUUUUUUCAGCCUGUGCAGGUGCUGCUAUGUACCGAAGGGAACUGUUUGCAAAGGUAGGAUUAUUUGAUGAACUGCAUUUUGCGUAUUUAGAGGAUCUGGAUCUUGGCUAUAGAGCGAAGAUUCAGGGAUAUCGGAAUGUAUAUUGUCCGACAGCAAAGGUAUAUCAUGUGGGCAGUGGAACAAGCGGUUCUAAAUAUAAUAGUUUCAAGGUAAAGCUUUCUGCACGAAAUUCAGUGUAUGUCAACUAUAAGAAUAUGCCGCUGCCACAGCUUAUUUUAAAUGCACCGGCAUUGGCAGCAGGAUAUUUUGUAAAAUGGUGUUUCUUUAUGAAGAUCGGCUUUGGAAAGGAUUAUGUCGAUGGAUUAAAGGAAGGAAUCUCAACUAGAAAAAAAUGUAAAAAGGUAUUUUUUAGAGGAAGAGAUAUACGAAACUAUUGGCAGAUACAAAAGGAACUUUGGGAAAAUACAAUUACGUAUAUUAUAGAGCUGGCAAAGAGAAAGCUAUAAGCAGAAUAGUUACGUUUUUCUUACAAUUUCAAAAUACAGGAAAUUUGGGGUUGUACUUUUGGCAAUUUUCAAGUAUGAUAGGUACGGCUUUUGGCAGUUUCCGACCUGCACGAAUGGCAUAAUGAUGGCCACACUGUCUCCUCCCGAGACUCAGUGAAGUUGAAAUGUUUGUGAUGAUGCAAUCUCCCCGCGGCUAGACGGAAAGACCCCAUGAACCUUUACUGUAGCUUUGCAUUGGACUUUGAACCGAUUUGUGUAGGAUAGGCGGGAGGCAGAGAAAGCGCAACGCCAGUUGUGCCGGAGCCGACGUUGAAAUACCGCCCUGAUUUGUUUGAGGUUCUAACCGCGACCCGUAAGCCGGGUCCGGGACCGUGCAUGGCAGGCAGUUUGACUGGGGCGGUCUCCUCCUAAAGGGUAACGGAGGAGUACAAAGGUACGCUAGGUACGGUCGGAAAUCGUGCUGAUAGUGCAAAGGCAAAAGCGUGCUUGACUGCGAGACCGACAAGUCGAGCAGAUGCGAAAGCAGGUCUUAGUGAUCCGGUGGCUCUGUAUGGAAGGGCCAUCGCUCAACGGAUAAAAGGUACUCUGGGGAUAACAGGCUGAUACCGCCCAAGAGUUCAUAUCGACGGCGGUGUUUGGCACCUCGAUGUCGGCUCAUCUCAUCCUGGGGCUGUAGCCGGUCCCAAGGGUAUGGCUGUUCGCCAUUUAAAGAGGUACGUGAGCUGGGUUUAAAACGUCGUGAGACAGUUUGGUCCCUAUCUGCCGUGGGCGCUGGAAGAUUGACGGGGGCUGCUCCUAGUACGAGAGGACCGGAGUGGACGCACCUCUGGUGUACCGGUUGUCACGCCAGUGGCAUCGCCGGGUAGCUAUGUGCGGAAGAGAUAACCGCUGAAAGCAUCUAAGCGGGAAACUUGCCUGAAGAUAAGUCUUCCCGGAGGCUAGACCUCCCUGAAGAGUCGUUCGAGACCAGGACGUUGAUAGGUCGGGUGUGUAAGCGUUGUGAGACGUUUAGCUAACCGAUACUAAUUGCUCGUGAGGCUUGAUC
rnacentral:rRNA from 1 species